CCCACAUGCUCCUCUGAGGACGACGCUGAUUGGUAGAAUCGCACAUGAUGCGUGGGAGGCUAGUGCGCCUGCGCACAGCUUCAUGUCCCGGAAAGACUAGCGGGGGACGCUGGGGGAACUCGAGCUCGCGGAGCUCUGUCCUCCAGAGAGCAAAACAACCGACUGGCCGCUCUCUGCAUCCAGACCCCGGCGCUGCUUGAUUGACAACUGCGCUUAUCCAAUCAGAGAGCGUACCACCACCUCGACAUCUUAUUGGUUCUCGGGUCCGGCUCCAGCUCUCUGCAUCAGCCAAUCACAGCGCGCGUACGCCAAUAAAACUUAAUACAGCCAUCCUGGCAGACUCUGUGGCGCCCCGCAGCGGAGGCAUAUGGAAGCAAUUUCAGUGCGGGUUUUGUUUUAAUGCUGAUGGACUGUGCAGACUUCUUCCACAUGAUGUGUCCCUGUGGUGUGCAGGAAGCUGGCUGCUUCGUGUUAGUCCAGUCAGCGGUGGUUCUGCUUUGUUCCGUCAGCAGUAACACGUCUCGACAGUAAUGUAGAACUGUUGUAUUUAUUGCCACUCUGAGCCAUGUAAAACACAAUAACUCCCAACCUUUAUUCCCAUUUUUCAGUGUGUAACAUGUGCUAUUAUUUUGAAAAGCGACUGUUUUGCCAGAGAAAGUGUCAGUGCAGCUGUGGCCAGGAGGGGGCGCUGCUGCUUAAGUUUUCCAUCCUGAGGCCUGACCUGUGGUUUGUUCACCUCUCACGACUGGAUCCUGUGUUCACGAGUUGAAAUGUACCUCUUUUCAAUUUGAAAAAAUGAAAAUAUCAUCAAGAUCUCACUCAGAAAUAAAUAAGAAAUAUAUACAUGUGACAGCUGCUUCAACCAGACGCAGAUUUUAUAGCUCUUCCUCACGUUCUCCGCGUUCCUUCCUUUUCUUUCACCAUCUCUCAAGCGUCCAGAGGUUGAGGGGCCAGCACUGGGGCGAGGCGCUGACAGUUUAAAAAAAAAAAAAGGAGUAAGAAAAAGUCAUGAGGGAAGCGGUCGUGGAUUUGAUGUCAGAGCCUGAGAUUGGCCUCCUUGAUAAAAUCGGUCUGGCUCGGCGAGAUUGGCAGCCUUCUCGUCGGAAAAGAAAACAGAAAGGGCCCCAAACAAACAGAGCAGAAUGGCCCCGGCCGAGCAGAAAAACAGCCCUGUGCCAUGUGACCUGGUAACUGCGGAACAAUGUCAGCUCAGGCAAACACACACGUGAAAGAAAGUGGAGCGACAAAGAUUUGGAUUCAUUUUUGUGCAUAUUUUUGCUUGUGCAUCGACACGGGAAGUGAGUGUUUUCAGGCCGAUCUUGAAGGAAACCUCCCUGUGUUCCUGCAGCUAUUGUGUCUACUCCACUAAUGGACUCCUCUUCCCCUGUCUCCUUUUUCUCCCUCUGUCUUCCCCUCCUUUUUUCUCCCAUAUCAUAUCCAUGUAUUCCCCCGGGGGCUGAUUAAAAGGCUUUCUAGCAGGGGUGAGGGGAGAAGAGAGGAGAGAAGAGGAGAAGAAGAAGGGGGGGUGGCAGUGUGGAAGAGUGGUCCUUAUUACCCCAUAUGUCUGGACAGGAGAGGGUGGAGUGGAGGUCCUCUUCCAGUUAAUCAAUAGAGAUACGGUCCUUCUCCGCUCCCUGUGUCUCCUCUUGCCUCCACCCUCAGCCUCCCCCAUUAGAGAUAAUGUGUCUGGUAUUGACACAGCAGGGUCUGGGUUCUAUGACAGAAAUACAGUUGUGCUCCGCGAGGCCCACGUCAAAAACUCUGUGGUCGACAGAUCGGCCUGACUCAUCGAUUCGCAGUGUGACCCAAUUCUUCUUCUUCUUCUUCUUUUUCUUCUUCUUCUUCUUCUUACAAACAGAUGGAAAGUGAGCAGAGAUUGCAACAACAUCUAUUUGUUUAGUAUUAGUCUCAUAAGAAAAUGUGUGUAAAGGCAUUACAAUUGAUUAUCUCUGCACUUCUUUCUCAGCAAGGUACCGACGAUGUUCCAGUAUUUUUCAGGAAAGUGGUUUGUGUAAACCCUUUUAUCCCAUUAGUCAUUGAUUUUCAUGGUCACACGCUCACUUUUUCCAUAUUUAUAUUGUUGUUUGGUUGAGACAUUCAUUUUGGUCUGAGUGGACUAAUUUUAAGUGCUUCUGUUUUGGUAAGACGAUAACGCUGAAAUAUGUCUUUUCUGUCGUGACUCAAACUCACUACAACUUCAGCUGGUUGUAAAACAGUCUCAGUUUAACACUGAUGCCUCCCUGUGACCUGUGUGAGCAAACAAGACCUUCUGCAUAAAGAUUUUCUAUUUCUGCAAAGUUAUUGUAGUUAUUCUUGUUCCCUACCAACUUAUCCGGGGCUGAUAUUAAAACUAUUAUUCACAGUUUAUUUUAUGAUGAGGAUGAAUUAAGGCGAUUCACAGGUUGAGGAAAUAAGCUGCUCUGUAGUCAGUUACAU